GGCUUCCAGGUGUGGGGGUUUUGGGGUUACAGGUGUGAGGUUUUUGGGGUUACAGGUGUGGGGUCAGGAGCUGCCAGGUGUGAGGGUUUUGGGGUUACAGGUGUGGGGUCAGGAGCUGCCAGGUGUGAGGUUUUUGGAGUUGCAGGUGUGGGGUCAGGAGCUGUCAGGUGUGAAGGUUUUGGGGUUGCCAGGUGUGAGGUUUUUGGGGCUGCCAGGUGUGUCAGGGCACAGGUUUGGGGUGCCGUGGCUCCUUACCUGUCCCUGCCCCCCAGAGUUUGGGUUCUGCCAGGUGUGGGGUUCAAGGUGUGUCAGGGCACAGGUUUGGGGUCCCUGUGCCCCAUCCCUGUCCCCAGUGGGUCAGGAGCUGCAGGUGUGGGGCGCUCUGGGUGUCACUUCGGGGGUGGCAGUGACGUUUUGGGGG